GUGCGUAAGAGCGAGGCAGAUGCGCAGGUGCGCGGACCAGGUCCCGGUUCUGGCGGAUUUGGCCCAGGCACCCCCAGCCCCCAGAUCUGGCCGGGUGCGGCGGCUCAUGCCUGUAAUCCCAGCACUUUGGGAGGCCGAAGCAGGUGGAUCACAUGAAGUCAGAAGUUGGAGACUAGCCUGGCCAACAUGCCAGCCUCCAGCAUCGCCUCCUCUGGGAUCUUCUCUGACUUCCCAGUCGGUUUCAGAAGCCUCUGAUGACCCCAUGCGGAGAAGACUGCUCCCCUCACUGCUGGCACACGGCAGAUGCUCAGUAAGUAUCGUUCAAUGACUGACUAAAUGUCUCAUAAUAUCCUUCAUAAACAAGGGCCUGGUGUGGAUUCAUAAAUGGGUCUCUCAAAGUUUAAUUGGUGAGACUCUGUUGUAUCAGACAAUGAAGGGUUAAAAGAUAAUAUUCAAAAAAGUAAAAUCAUGACACACAAAUCUAGAAUGAACACACAUUGAUAAGGUUUGGAUCUGUGUCCUCACCCAAACCUCAUGUCGAACUGGGAUCCCCCGUGUCAGAGGCGGCCGCGUGGGAGGUGACCGGAUCGCGGGUGGACCCUUCAUGAAGGGUUCAGCACCAUCCCCUUGGUGCUGUCCUGGGACAGAGUUCUCUUGCGAUCUGGUUGUUUAAACGUGUGUGGCCCCUUCCCCCUCUCUUUUCCUCCUCCUCCUGCCGUGGGAGACACUUGCUCCAGCUUCGCCUUCCGCCGCGAGUUGAAGCUCCCCGAGGCCUCCUCAGAAGCAGAAGCCACCACGCUUCCUGUACAGCCUGUGGGACCCGGAGCCAGUUCAACCUCUUUUCUUUAUAAAUUACCCAGACUCGGCCGGGCACGGUGGCUCACGCCUGUAAUCCCAGCACUUUGUUGAGACCGAGGCAGGCAGAUCACGAGGUCAGGAGAUCGAGAACAUCCUGGCUAACACGGUGAAACCCCGUCUCUACUAAAAAUACAAAAAAUUAGCCGGGCGUGGUGGCGGGCGCCUGUGGUCCCAGCUACUCGGGAGGCUGAGGCAGGAGAAUGGUGUGAACCCGGG
rnacentral:lncRNA from 10 species